GACGAACGCUGGCGGCGUGCCUAAUACAUGCAAGUCGAACGAGAGCGACCGGUGCUUGCACUGGUCAAUCUAGUGGCGAACGGGUGAGUAACACGUGGGUAACCUGCCCUUCAGAGGGGGAUAACAUCCGGAAACGGAUGCUAAAACCGCAUAGGUCUCCGAACCGCUUGGUUUGAAGAGGAAAAGCGGCGCAAGCUUCUGCUGAUGGAUGGACCCGCGGUGCAUUAGCUAGUUGGUGAGGUAACGGCUCACCAAGGCCGUGAUGCAUAGCCGACCUGAGAGGGUGAUCGACCACAUUGGGACUGAGACACGGCCCUAACUCCUGCGGGAGGCAGCAGUAGGGUAUCUUCCGCAAUGGACGCAAGUCUGACGGAGCAACGCCGCGUGAGUGAAGAAGGUUUUCGGAUCGUAAAACUCUGUUGUUAGAGAAGAAUAAGUGCUAGAGUAACUGUUAGCGCCUUGACGGUAUCUAACCAGAGAGCCACGGCUAACUACGUG
rnacentral:rRNA from 1 species